UGGGGAAUAUUGCACAAUGGGCGCAAGCCUGAUGCAGCCAUGCCGCGUGUAUGAAGAAGGCCUUCGGGUUGUAAAGUACUUUCAGCGAGGAGGAAGGCGGUAAGGUUAAUAACCUUAUCGAUUGACGUUACUCGCAGAAGAAGCACCGGCUAACUCCGUGCCAGCAGCCGCGGUAAUACGGAGGGUGCAAGCGUUAAUCGGAAUUAUUGGGCGUAAAGCGCACGCAGGCGGUCUGUCAAGUCGGAUGUGAAAUCCCCGGGCUCAACCUGGGAACUGCAUUCGAAACUGGCAGGCUAGAGUCUUGUAGAGGGGGGUAGAAUUCCAGGUGUAGCGGUGAAAUGCGUAGAGAUCUGGAGGAAUACCGGUGGCGAAGGCGGCCCCCUGGACAAAGACUGACGCUCAGGUGCGAAAGCGUGGGGAGCAAACA
rnacentral:rRNA from 1 species